rnacentral:rRNA from 1 species
GGCGAACGCUGGUGGCGUGCCUAAUGCAUGCAAGUCGAGCGGACCAAUAGAAGCUUGCUUCUGUUGGUUAGCGGCGGACGGGUGAGUAACACGUGGGCAACCUGCCUGUAAGACUGGGAUAACUUCGGGAAACCGGAGCUAAUACCGGAUAAUUCAUCCCCUCGCAUGAGGGGAUGCUGAAAGUCGGUUUACGCUGACACUUACAGAUGGGCCCGCGGCGCAUUAGCUAGUUGGUGAGGUGAUGGCUCACCAAGGCGACGAUGCGUAGCCGACCUGAGAGGGUGAUCGGCCACACUGGGACUGAGACACGGCCCAGACUCCUACGGGAGGCAGCAGUAGGGAAUCUUCCACAAUGGACGAAAGUCUGAUGGAGCAACGCCGCGUGAGCGAUGAAGGCCUUCGGGUCGUAAAGCUCUGUUGUUAGGGAAGAACAAGUAUCGGAGUAACUGCCGGUACCUUGACGGUACCUAACCAGAAAGCCACGGCUAACUACGUGCCAGCAGCCGCCGUAA